rnacentral:rRNA from 1 species
AGUAAAUCAGUGGCAGAGGCAGGCGGAAGACGGAGGCAUCAAGCGUUAAUAGGAAUGAGUUGGGGUAAAAAGUGCUCACGAGGCUUAUUAAGUCAGAUGGGAAAACCCUAGGCUCAACCUAGGAACUGCAUUUGAAACUAAUAAACUAUAGUAUCGUAGAGGGAGGUAGAAUUCCAGGGGUAGCGGUGAAAUGCGUAGCUAUCUGGAGGAAUACCAGUUGGGAAGGCGACCUCCUGGACGAAAACUGACGCUCAAGCACGAAAGCAUGGGGAGCAAACAGGAUUAGAUACCCCUGUAGUC